rnacentral:rRNA from 1 species
UCCGUAGGCGGAUCUGUAAGUCAGUGGUGAAAUCUCAUAGCUUAACUAUGAAACUGCCAUUGAUACUGCAGGUCUUGAGUAAGGUAGAAGUAGCUGGAAUAAGUAGUGUAGCGGUGAAAUGCAUAGAUAUUACUUAGAACACCAAUUGCGAAGGCAGGUUACUAUGUCUUAACUGACGCUGAUGGACGAAAGCGUGGGGAGCGAACAGGAUUACAUACCCUAGUAGUC